AGCGAACGCUGGCGGCAGGCCUAACACAUGCAAGUCGAACGGACCCUUCGGGGUUAGUGGCGGACGGGUGAGUAACACGUGGGAACGUGCCUUUUGGUUCGGAACAACUCAGGGAAACUUGAGCUAAUACCGAAUGUGCCCUUCGGGGGAAAGAUUUAUCGCCAUUAGAGCGGCCCGCGUCUGAUUAGCUUGUUGGUGAGGUAAUGGCUCACCAAGGCGACGAUCAGUAGCUGGUCUGAGAGGAUGAUCAGCCACAUUGGGACUGAGACACGGCCCAAACUCCUACGGGAGGCAGCAGUGGGGAAUUUUGCGCAAUGGGCGAAAGCCUGACGCAGCCAUGCCGCGUGAAUGAUGAAGGUCUUAGGAUUGUAAAAUUCUUUCACCGGGGACGAUAAUGACGGUACCCGGAGAAGAAGCCCCGGCUAACUUCGUGCCAGCAGCCGCCGUAAAAC
rnacentral:rRNA from 1 species